UACGGGGGGGGGUAAGCGUUGUUCGGAAUUACUGGGCGUAAAGGGCUCGUAGGCGGCCAACUAAGUCAGACGUGAAAUCCCUCAGCUUAACUGGGGAACUGCGUCUGAUACUGGAUGGCUUGGAUCCGGAAGAGGGAUGCGGAAUUCCAGGUGUAGCGGUGAAAUGCGUAGAUAUCUGGAGGAACACCGGUGGCGAAGGCGGCAUCCUGGGCCGGUAUUGACGCUGAGGAGCGAAAGCCAGGGGAGCAAAGCGGG
rnacentral:rRNA from 1 species